CGCGAAGCGCCGGCACACCAUUUCUUUGGCCGGAAGCGGAAGGCAGGGUGGCGGGGCACUGUCACUCAAAUGCAGUCAUUAUGGUAUCGCAAAUACUGUAGCAGCUCAGCCGCCAGCCGCCGUUGUCACUGUAUAGCUCGGCGGGCGGGCAUGUCCGGCAGCGGGAGCUCCUGCUGGCGUCAGACAGUCGCGUGUGGCACUAAGAAAUUGGGGAAAAUGCCUUUCUUGCUCAGGGGGGUGGGUUUGUGGGCAGGGCAAACAGGUUCCAGGGUUUCGCUAACGACACGCUCGCAGCAAGCUGAAGAGCGGGUGCUGGUAACUGUGACCCACAGUCUGCACCCACCAUCCCGACGUCAUGCGCGCAGGAGCUUGACGAGGAGAUGGAGGACGAGGACGACGAGGCAGAGCCGGGGGCGCCCGGCAAGC
rnacentral:lncRNA from 1 species